rnacentral:lncRNA from 10 species
GCAGCCCUCGAGCGGCCCGGACCGUCCGCUGCCUCCCGCAGCCGCGCGCCCGCCCUGGGCCCAGCCUCCAGCCCGCGAGCGAAAACCUGCCUGUUGCUUUGUCUUCUUCCUUCACAGUUUUCCCACCCUGAGAAAAGUGAGAGGUGCUUUCCCUGGCGAGUCCCCCCAGGCGCCCCGCAGCCUGGCCUCGGGACUGCCCCCACCGACAGUGCGUGCGCGGGGAGAGGUCACUUAAAACUGCAUUUUCGAACAUUAGUGCCCCGGACCCGCACCUUUUUUCCUCCGUCCUUUGAUCUGUGCCGCAGAGGCAAGGGCUGGAACGGCGCCCUCCCCUGGUAGAGGGACGGAGAGACCGCAAAUCUUUCCCCCUGGGAGGUCCGUUAAGUAGAUCCAAGCACCUGGAGGCGGAACCUGUGUGGCCGGCUACAGGGUGGUCCUGUGUAUGUGUUACCGCCUUAUUGUUCCAAAGAACAGUCUUUUUCAAGUGACAGGUAGAAGACGCCCCAAUAACGAGAAGUGACUGACUUGGCCAAGCUUAGAGAUGGGAGUGGAGUCAGGUUCCCUGGUGGCCCCACGAUCUCGCCCACCAUGUCAGCAUGGGCUGCCCGGUGAGCAUAGCUGAGAUGCACCAAGGCCACAUAAGUCACCUACUUUGCCUUGGCUGCCCCAUCUGCAUCUAUCAAAGGAAGCCUUGGACACCCACCAGAGGAGCCAGCAUGAGGGAGUGUAUGCCUUUAUACAAAUUCACUCCAACUUCAGAAAAACGUCCGCAGCUCAUGCUCCCCCUGCCAGAGCAGCAGUGUGAGCAGCUGUGUAGGUUUGGAAGCACCCCAGUCACUUGGGCAUUGAUAUGGUUUGGCUGUAUCCCCACCCAAAUCUCAUCUUGAAUUGUAAGUCCCGCAGUUCCCAGGUGUGUGGGAGGAACCUUGUGGGAGGUGAUUGAAUUAUGGGGGCGGGUCUUUCCUGGGCUGUUCUCGUCAUAGUGAAUGAGUCUCACGAGAUCUGAAGAUUUUAAAAAUGGGAGCGCUUGUUGCACAAGCUCUCUCUUGGCCUACUGCCAUCCGCUUAAGAUGUGACAUGCUCCUCCUUGCUUUACGCCAUGAUUGUGAGGCCUCCCAACCAUGUGGAACUGCAAGUCCAAUAAACCUCUUUCAUUUGUAAACUGCCCAGUCUCCGGUGUGUCUUUAUCAGCAGUGUGAAAAUGGACGAAUACAGGCAUAUUUCUCGUUUGUGAUCUCCCUUUACCCUUGCGUACAUACCCUACAGAGACAGUCCCAGUGUGCCUAUUCCCAGUCAACUCCUGCCUUCCUUGACGGUUUUGUUGGCAAAGCAUCAAAAGUAAGACCCAGUACAAAAUGUAGUUGCUACCCUGAGGCUUGACCACUGGCCUACUGGCCUUUACCUGGGAAAUUAACCAACUCAUAAACAAACAAAAAAAAGUAAUCAUAUAGGAGGCAGGGUGGACAUAGAUUUACUUGAUAUUUCUAGUUAAGGGACUUGGGCAUAGACAUCUAUAAUCUGAGC